rnacentral:lncRNA from 1 species
AACUGUUAUAAAGAAGGGCUGGAAUCCAGAAUUAGGGUUUUGGGGGUUUUAGGGGUGUUGAACUAAAAUACGUUGAGGGUCACGCAUAAGUUUUGGAGGCAUUGAAGAGUUCUUCUAGUUUUCCAUCACGCAUAGAUGUUGGGCUCACCAAACAGAGGGUAGUGCUGAAAAUGGAUGAGAGUUAUGCAUUAGAAGAAUCAACUAAUGCUAUCAGUGGGCAGAGGAUUUGCAUAUGUGGGAUGGUCGUAGGAUGCUGCACAAGCUUCAAGCCAUGGAGUGCAUGGCAGAGGUUUUAUGGAUGCCCAAAAUAUUUGGUAAGCAUUUUUCCAUGACAAUAUAUUUUGUUUUAAGUGGCCACUGAUUUGGGUUGAAUCUAGUCAUCUACAGCAUGCAAUUUUUUUGAAUGGAUCGAUCCUCUUCUUGCACGAGCUAGAGAUGUUAUAGUAAGGUAGAGAUUGGAGAUUAUGAAUAUGAAAAAUAAAAUUGAGAGAUUGCAACAAGUUGGGGAAAAGGGGUGCCAAGGGGAAGGAGAUUGCAAUAGAGAUUAUGCCUCUUCCAGUCAUGCAGUUGGUCAAUUAAAUGAAAAUGAGAGCAAUCGGAAUGUUGAAUUAAAAGAGCAGCUAUUUGACCUAUAGAUUCAACUUGCAAUAGAGAGAAUAAGAAAAAAGACUUAUGGUCUGCUAUGUAUGUUUUCUUUUAUGGUUGUUUGUGAUUUGUUGAUAUGGAAUUUCAUAUAUGUGUUAGAUGUUUG